rnacentral:lncRNA from 10 species
GUACAUUGAGUAUGUUUUACUGAUUCAUUUAAUCUCUUUCUAUUCUUAGGGCAUUCCAGGCAAAUGGAAUAAUAUGAAAAACAGCAAAAGAAGCAUGAAGCUGCAGAACUUAUUAGUUCAAAUGCAAUAUGGGGAUGUUUUGUAGCAACAUCACAUGGAUGUUGAGAGGGUUGAAAGGAAGGAAACACAUUUUACUACAUAAGGGACUAGUAAUGAGAAUGUAUGUUUAAAGUUCAUAGAUAUAUUUGGUACAACCAUGACUACAACACCUGAAUAAAUUUAAUUAAUGCUUUUCCUGUGAAGAACAUAUAGUACUUGAGUAUAUCAUAAAAUACUAUUGUUAGUGGUUUCAGGAGGGAGAAUCAUUCACCAAACAAGACAGACAAGAAAAUCAUGAGGAUAAGAGCUGGACAAGUGUGAUGUGUUGUUGGUAGAGGACACCCAAAGGAGGGAGAGAUCAGACUCACUUGUUUAUUUAAAGAUGAGUAAGAAUUUGCCUGACAGAUGGGAAUCAUGACAGCUGGAGAGAGGAUGUUCUAGGCAAAUGGAACAAUAUGUAUAACAACAUAGAGGCAUGAAACAGACCACAUUCUCUUUGAUCAGUAAUGUAACAUAUAUAUGAAUGUGUACAUUCAAAUAAGUUUAAAAUCUUAGUGCUCUCCUCCAAAGAGUUUAUAACAUAAUUGAAUAGAUAAUGUGCAAGUAUGGGAAGAAAAUGUUAAUACUAUGUGAUAAUGGUCUGAUAAGUAUCUGUUGAAUAAAUGAAUGAUAAAUGAAUGAAUGUCAG